UGGCUUUGGCAUUAGGCCACCCCAAUAGCCCAAUUUCAAACCGGGUCCAUAGUUCUUGGGGCGGGCUGGUGCGUUUGGCGGGUCAAAAUUUCAGCAGCUGAGAGAGUAAACUGAGAGUGACUGAGCAACCAGAAUUCGCCGCGGUGAAGAUCAUGUUUGCAGUAAAGAAAUACAUUCGAAACUCUUCCCUCAAGUUUUGGAGCUUCAUUUUCAGCCAUUCCAAUUUCAAUGUCGCCUCAAGGGGAUCUCCUCUUAUGUUUUGUCACUCUGGAAGAAUUCUUCCAAAUCGUGCAUAUUUGCAUAAAGCAACUUCCUUUACACGUUUUCGUAGUCAUGUCAACUCCUCAAUUUCCAGAAACUAUCACCAAAUGAGAUUAAUUCGUAGAUUACCAUGUCAAGAUCCUGCAACCAACGCUUUGCGGCCAAGUUCAUUAACUUCUGGGUCUCGUGAGAUCGUUUUGAAACAGGUCCAUGCGAGACAGUUCUCUAGUCCAUCGAUAGAGCUGAAUACAGAAAAAGGCGUUGUCAGAUUUAGAUUUGGUCAAGAAAUUGGAAAAAGUGGUGGUCAGACAAAGGCAGAGCGUGUGGUGAAGAAGUUUAAAAUGUCUAAAAAAGCAAAACUGAAUGAACUCAGACUUUACAGACUGAAGGCAAAGAAGAAAAUGAGAUCUCCAAAUCCUGAAGUUAGGAUCAGAUACAAACUUGAGAAGGCAAAACGAAAGGAAGCUUGGUUGAUUGAGAAACUGAGAAAAUUUGAGGUACCUAAAGCUCCAGAUGAACCGCAUGAUCCUGAAAUUUUAACUGAAGAAGAGAAGUUUUACUUAAAGCGCACUGGUGAGAAAAAGAAAAAUUAUGUACCGGUUGGAAGGCGAGGAGUAUUUGGAGGGGUUGUUUUGAAUAUGCAUCUUCACUGGAAGAAACAUGAGACAGUUAAGGUUGUUUGCAAGCCUUGCAAGCCUGGGCAGGUUCAUGAAUAUGCUGCAGAGCUGACUCGGUUGAGCAGAGGUAUUGUUAUUGAUAUUAAACCAGACAAUACCAUAAUUUUCUAUCGUGGAAAAAAUUAUGUUCAACCAGACGUCAUGUCUCCUCCAGAUACUCUAUCUAAAGACAAGGCCUUAGAAAAGUAUCGAUAUGAGCAGUCAUUGGAGCAUACAAGUCAAUUUAUUGAGAAAAUGGAGAAAGAGCUGGAAGAGUAUCAUGAAUAUCUUGCCCGGAAGAGAAAAGAAGAAAAGAGUUGAAGCUGAUGGUUUGAAGUUAACUUCUGAGGUAUAGAUGCAAUUCUGAAAUGUUUCUACCUCUCCAGCACUUUCGCAGUUGAGAUGAAAAGUGUGAUGGCCAAUAGGAGUGGAUCUGAAAGAGGAAGGAAAGGAAUCAUUUGCCUUGCAUGGUAGCAAAUAAAAAGAGACCGAGUUAAUUUUUCAACCCCUCAGAAGUUGAAUGAAUGGAGUAGGAUCACUCUUUAACUCUCAUCAGUCAUCUGUUCACGUGCAGAGAAAAAUUAGAAACCCUCGAUACACCAGCCCCUUUGCAAUCCUUUUGCCAAGCAUGGUAUAAAGGUAUAUACUAGCUUCUUCGUGCUUACUGCUGAGCUGACAACCAGCUUGAAUCUUGAAUAGAUUUGUGGAUGUUAUGUCAAGUAAAAGAGUGUUUGUCUGGAAAUAUGUCAGCUGAAUCUGUCAGCAAAGUUUCUAUAUUGAGUGAGGGAGUUAAGCUGGGGAAAUUUAAUGGUAACAAGGCUUGUCAGUGAAAAUUAAAGGUAAAACUUCAUGUUCUCAUGUCGCAAUAUGAGUGAACUUCAUCUGUGAAUUCUCUGAUUGGCUGAUGUAGUCGUUACCAUUCAACCUAUUUCCUGGUGUUACGUUGCAAAGGGUUCAUUUUAACAAGCAGUCGAAAAGCAAAGACACUGUAAAAUGUGUUGCAAUCAAUUCAAAUGCUUGUGGAUUUAACUUCUCUGAUGGUCAGUGCAGCCUUCUCCUUUUAACUCAGUUUUCGAAUUGAGUAUUCUUGCUUGUAUUCAGAUCAUUUUUAAUGGAAGAUUCAGCUAAUAGCUCCACAGAAGAGCUAUCAAAUCCAUUGAAGCUUUCUUUCACACUUAUUGUUUGUUGUUUAAGUAUGUCGGUACAGUCCUUGUAACUUCGCCUAUGUGUUCUACUGGUUGAUAUUUAUUGGCAAUUAUAGAAUAAAUACAACUUACCCCUUCAUGAGGGCAGGUCUUGCAGA